rnacentral:rRNA from 1 species
CGACCGGCGCACGGGUGAGUAACGCGUAUGCAACCUGCCUGAUACCGGGGUGUAGCCCAUGGAAACGUGGAUUAACACCCCAUAGUACUUUUAUCCUGCAUGGGAUGUGAGUUAAAUGUUCAAGGUAUCGGAUGGGCAUGCGUCCUAUUAGUUAGUUGGCGGGGUAACAGCCCACCAAGACGAUGAUAGGUAGGGGUUCUGAGAGGAAGGUCCCCCACAUUGGAACUGAGACACGGUCCAA